UACGUAGGGUGCGAGCGUUAAUCGGAAUUACUGGGCGUAAAGCGUGCGCAGGCGGUUAUGUAAGACAGUUGUGAAAUCCCCGGGCUCAACCUGGGAACUGCAUCUGUGACUGCAUAGCUAGAGUACGGUAGAGGGGGAUGGAAUUCCGCGUGUAGCAGUGAAAUGCGUAGAUAUGCGGAGGAACACCGAUGGCGAAGGCAAUCCCCUGGACCUGUACUGACGCUCAUGCACGAAAGCGUGGGGAGCAAACGAGG
rnacentral:rRNA from 1 species